GGCUCAUUGGUAGAGCACAUGCAUAGUAUGCUUGAGGUCCUGGGUUCAAUCCCCAG
rnacentral:tRNA from 1 species